CUCAGCUGCUUACUGGAACAAGCACCCAGCCAAAGAAGGCGGUGAACUUCAGCAGCCCAAAUCCAUACCUGCCAAUUCAAGUGUCAUUAUGGCCUCACACUUAUGACCAAAUGCACAAUACUCCCAAGCAUGUCCACUGCACUGUAAAACACCUUACAUGCACAACCAGAGUAGGAGAAUAAUACCUUUGGCUACAUUCUUCCAAAAUCAUAGAAGUUUUGGUUACAAAGGACCUCUGGAUAUCUCAAGCCCACUUUCCCUCCUGGAACAGGAUUUUUGCAAAGGACACCACAGAUGAAGUUUCUACCUGGGUCUAUCUGGGUCACCUGUUCCGGUGCUGUACUAACUUGAUGAAUAUGGCUUUUUGUACUAUGCAAUCUGAGCCUUAAUUGUGUCUCCUCUCCAGCUGGUCACUUCUGAAACAGAAAUAGCAGCAGCUAUUUCUGCCCGAAGAAGUGAUACCCCUACUUGCAUAGGGCACAGUAAGCAAGACUUGGUUGGAAGUUUAAUUUUUGCCUUCAGUUCAAGAGUUGCUUCCUUUCUGUGUUGUAUACAGCAUCUGAGCUAUACUGCAUCCACAGCAAAACCACUACCCUUAUGCUAUCUAGUUCACUGCUCAGAACUGCCGCCCUUCCGGGCUCUGUCUUCAUUCUAGGGACACCAACAAACCCCCCUCUCUCCCACCUCUCAGCCUUUCUUUGUUCUUCCCUCCCAGAACAGGGUUCAGUUAAGGGACAGAAAGUAACCUACAAGAAAGACAGAGAGAGACUAUUGCCAAGGGACAGGACAAGGGGGAAAGGAUUCAAACUGAAAGAGAGUAGGUUUAGAUUAGAUAGUAGGGAGAAAAAUUUAUUCACAGUGGGGAUGGUGAGGCACUGGCAGAGAUUGCCCAGACAAGCUGUGGCUUCCUCAUUCUGAAAUGUUUAAAGCCAGGUUGAAUGGAACUCUGAGCAACCUGGUCUAGAGAAAGGUGUCCCUGUCCACGGCAGGGGGUUUGGAACUGGGUGAUCUGUAAGGUCCCUUCCAGCCCAGGCCAUUCUAUUAUUCUAUGUUGCCCAUAGGUCUGAGCAGCAUGGUUUCACUCCCUUUCCCCCUGAUAUUGGGCAAGAAUGAACUAGGAUUACUUAAUUACUUAGUUACAUCAGAUUACUCUAGGGGGACCAGAGGACUCUGCCUGACCCCAAAGCAGAUUUUCUUGGCUGAUCUACCCCAGAAGCCCCCAAAUAGGGCAGACAACUGAGGGACUGAUGGUACAGUGUGAGUCAAAUGUCCUUCAGUUGCAACUUUACCUCUGACCACACAGCAAGUGGCAGCAGUGGUGCUGCACCUUCUGCCAGUGCUGUGGCAAUGCUGGUGGGCAGGAAACCUCUGCAGCAAGCAUUCCUGGAGCCGCGUUGGUGAGAGCUGCGCCUCUGCCAGCACUGCGAGAGGAACCACAGCCAAGGUCUAAAGAAGGAGGCUGCUCCCCCCCAGACAAGAGGCUUCAGAGCAACACUGUCUGCUGGGCAAGGCUGGGGUGGGCACGCCAAACUCCAGCCUGCUGUGCCAUGCCGGGCUGCCCCUCUGCCCGGGAGAGCUGAAGCUGCGGCCGCGCUGCUGGGCUGCACAGCCCUGGCACGGCUGUCCAGGGAGAGCGCUGGCACCAGCCUCCGUGCCAGAGGAAGAGAAUCUAGGUCACAGAUCCUCUCUGAGAACCAGUACAGCUGAGGCUGCCAAGGGAAACAAACUGGCAGGAGAAAGGGGAACAAACUGCCUUGGAAGCAACAGGAGAAUGGGGAGAAGUAACUCAGUGAUUGAAACAAGGACACUCUGAGAAAGAAAUCCGCAAUGUUGGGGAUGUGAACUGUGUUCAGCACAUGGCAAUAUUCGCUGUGGGCAGCAUCCAAUCGCAGCAAUCUGAUUUAAAUUUCCACAAUACUUCCUUCACAGUUCCUCUUCAUCAGCACUUUAAAAUAUAGUGUUUUGAGUUGGAAUGACUGACACAGAAGAUGAAAUUAAUAAGGUAAUACAGGUCAUCAUGAAUAUUGAUAAAUUCCAGUCACAGCAUGCCUCAUUCUGCAGUUUCCUCCAAAUCUUACAGUCCUCACUGCUUUGCCUGACAAAGAUGACACAAAAAUUUGAUGUGUCAUAUACCUCCAAGUUUAUGACCACUACAGAAAACACAUUUUCCCUUGAAAACAAAGUAAGAUAUUGUUCUGUGUAAUUUUAAUCACUUAACCCAAUUCUGGUAUAGUUUCCUCUGAUUUCUUUUCAGUUUCUUUUUUUUUAGCUUUGUAGGUAACUGCCAAUUGUCCACAAACAGAGUGGCUUGCUGCUGACUGCAAUUGCAGGAAGGAAAGGUAUCUGUGGUUGGAUGUAAAUACUCUCUGUACUAUCACAACAGUAGUAUAUUUGGGAAUCCUUGUCUGCUUCAGAAGGCUUAAACAGUUUUGCACCUCUGCCACCAGAAGUAAAUAAUCCAAGAAAGACACUUCUUUCUCUAGUAUGUUCCUGUUCAGUCUCCUCAAGGACUGCAGAACAAUGCUCGACCCUCAAGGCCAAAGCCAAGCAAUAAAGUGAACUUUAACCUUUGGCUUUGAAGAACAGGCAUGUGUGAAAAGAAAAAGCUGUGGAAACAUUUCUUGAAGACACUGGUAUCAUGCCUAAGGUGGUCCAUGCACUUUCACCUAAGAACUCCUGUUGGAAACCAGCUGCUCUAGCAAAGAAAUGUCCCUCCUUAAUGCUUACAUCAUCUUUGUGUGGUGACAAGUGAGAAAAAAUUCACUGUAAAACCCAAGACUUAUAUGCUCAGCUCCAGUUAACAAAUUGUAUUAGCUGUUCAGCUAAAGGCAGAAAAAAAUACUACAGAAGAAAGAAAACACCAUCGGUAUUGUUAUUUUAAAGGAAAUCCAAAUUAUGAUAUUAGUUUUCCCAGCCUGAGAAAAAGCAAAAGCAAACAAACCCAAAGCAAUUAAUUUCAUAUCACAAAAAUGUAUGACAGGAAAAAGUACUUAGAUAAAUCAAUGGGAAUAAUAGCAACACCCAAAGACAUAAAAAGGGGUUUCUCAUUGUAUAGGAGACAAAAUGCUUCACAGACCACAGUGAAAGGAAGGUCACCUACCAGAAAACCUUAGACAUUAUGAACAUUUUGCAAAUUGCACCAAGCAGGAACAGGAAGAUACACAAAGAAAUGAAAUACCAUAAAAUGGCUUCACCAGCUAAACUUCAAAUGAAACUGGAAAUGUCAGAAUGAAUAAAGAUUAUCCACUUUAGUUGCUUGUUGAAUAAUUUAACCUGAGAGAAGGGUCUGACAGCAGAUGAACUGCCUUUUCCAGACGUGGACAGCUGGGCUGUCAAAUAUAACUCAUAUUUCUGAGGUGUCAUAUGAACAAAUGACUAAAUUCAGGCAUGGCAAAACCAUCAAUGAAUUAUUUUUAUCUUAAUGCACUUUGUAGAUUAAAUUGCAAACCAGAUUGGUAGCUGAAUUUUAUAAAUGGUCCUAUGACCAUAUUUUGUGUGAUGUGAGGUGGCCAUCUGUAGGGUAAGCCAUAUACAAGGUAUUUAGAGGUUUUCUGUCUUUCUCAGCUAUGUUAAAACAAACAGCCACAGUAUGUAUAAACUUGGUCUUGCCUUAGAAGAAAUUUAUACAGUGUGCAGCAAAAAAAGGCUAUAAACAAGUUUGUUUACCCUUAGGAAUGAGAAAUCCACAGUGUGUCUGUUUGAUACUUACAGUACACAGCACACACAGAGUAGGAUAAAUUGUUGAAAUCCCAUUAUAAAAUCCAUCUAAGGUAACUAGUGGACGAUAUCUAAUAAUUUUAAAAUGUGUAAACAGGAAACUGCUCACGUUAGCAGAUAUUUUUGGAUAUUCCAGAGAAUUAAAGAUAAUCCCUGAUGCAGUAACAAAUGACAAGCUAUUUUAAUAUAUGCUUUUGUACUACUCAGAAUUUUGCCAAGGGGGGGGGGGGGGAAAGCCAAACUUUUACAAAUGUGUCUCUGACCAGCACUCAGAACAAUCAACUAUGCUUUUUUUUGAGUCAUAUGACUCUUCAGAUAAAAAUUUACAAUAUAAAAAGAUAUAUUAAACCCA